GAAGGACGCACAUUUUAAUCAGGUAAUAGUUUGAAAUGAUCUUUUUCUUCAUGACUGUUAAUUUUGAUCACUUGGAUUCUACAAUAAUCGGCUGGCAUGAUAUAAUGUUGUUAAAACUAGAAACACAUUUCAGUAAAGUUAAUGUUUUCACUGGUAAUUUUAAAUUUAAAAAUUUUAAAACUUCAAAAAUUGACUUAUAAAAUUAUGAUUUGCAACUUCAUAAACACCGCCGCAUUUUUUCGCCUCUUCCAAGUCAGGAACCUCUAUUCAUAUGUUUAGGAGUUUAUUAUGACGUCCGUUAUCACUAAACUAGUACACAAUUUUGUUUAGGGGCAAACUGAACGACGACAUAUUAACAAAAAUCGACAUAGAAAAUUAUGAUUUGAAACUUUUAAAAUAAACACAGCCGAAUUUUUUCGCCUCUUCCAAGUCAGGAUCCUCUGGCUUUUGUUAGUCUGAUUUUAUGAUUUUUAACUUUUAGUUUCUUUUAUAUGUUUAGGAGUUUAGUAUAACGUCCAUUAUCACUAAAAUAGUACACAAUUUUGUUUAGGGGCUAGCUGAAUGACGACAAAUUAACACAAGUAAACAUCAAUGUCUUUUUGUGAUUCUUUUUAAACAUAUUUGUUUGUUUUCAUUUUCAUUCAGAUUAUUACGCAAUAUUGACUGCUAUAUCCCUAAUUUGUUUUAACAUGUUUACUAAUUAUGUCUGUGUGUUUAAUCACACAUCGUUGUAAAUAUAAUGGAAUUUUAUGCAAUUUUCAUAUAAGUGCAUGGUAGGUUAAGUAGGCUUUUAAACCAGAUUUAAACCACCAUAUAUCGCGUAGUGGAAUUAACUAUUUGUGGAUUCUUAUAAUUUCGAUAUAACUUUUUGGCUAUUUUAAAUCUCGGUCUAUUUCUGAAAUUUAUUCUUAUAUACUUUUGAUUUUUUAACCCUGUAUGCUAACACUGCCUAUGUGAAAUUUAAAAUUGUUUGUAUGUACAUUGAACGACAAAUAUAUGUGACGUAUAAAACUUUCUGACGUCAGACACGCAAAUCAAUGAAUGUAUUUGUAGAUAGAUGUUUUUGUGUUCUGUUAAAUUGUUACUUUUAAAAUUGUUUCACAAUGAUGACUGUUCUACCCAUAUUUUGACUAUUUUAUAUUAUGGUGUCUGUUUAGUUAACGCAUCAUUGUAAAUUUGAUGAGACUGUCAUCAAAGUGAAAGGUUUAGCACUAUAAAACUAGGUUUAAUCCUCCAUUUUGUACAUUUGAAAAUGCCUGUACCAAGUCAGGAAUAUGACAGUUCUUGUCCAUUCGUUUUAGAUGUGUUUUGUUAUUUGAUUUUGCCAUGUGAUUUUGGACUUUCCGUAUUGAUUUCUUCUAAGUUCAGUAUUUUGUGAUUUUAUUUUUUCUUUUUUUGUAUUAAGACAAUUCUGGCAUUUGGUUAGGGACGUUCGGUUUUGAAUUUUCCUCGGAGUUUUUGUAUUUUUGUGAUUUUACAUUUUAGGAUCAUUUUUGAAUUUAUAAAUCGUGGACGUUUAUCAUUUGAAACUAUUUUGGCCUUUAGUUUCAUCGGAGAGACAUUAUAAGUCUAAAUAUUCCCCUGGAGCAGUAACAUAGGUACUGUUAAUUGCACUUCUACACUUGGCCGAUACCUCGGCUGAUUGAAAGUCACAACAGGUAUCGCCAACUGAGUAGUUAUGGUUUGAUCGAAAUUAACAAUUAAUGAUCUUAAGUUUCAUAAUGAAAAAACUAAAACAGGUGAAAAAAUUCGUAUUCAAUGAAUAAAGAUGGCAACAAAAGAUAACAAAAUCUUAUUUUUUCUAUAAAUAUAUUGAUUUUCUAUUAUAAUUCAAAUUUAAAAAAAAGUUUGUAUAGAAAAAUACGUCCACACUGAAUUAAAAUACGACGAAAAUUUGACUUUGUAUUCCAUUAUUUUAUAUGUUCAUGCAUGUUUCAUUUCGUGGUAUUGCUAAAGUUUCCAUGCAAGCCUUACAAAGAUGUAUGUGUAAUUGAACGUUUAAAUUAGUGAUUAACAUUUACUAAAAAAAUCCAGGAAAAUCGGUAAGAAACGAAUAAUUAUAAAUCCGAAGUAAUACUAUACAAAUAUCACGGCCGACACUCGGCUAACCGAGAGAUUGGUCGGUCAAUCUAUAUUGAGUAUGCGGCUAUAUGGGCGAUUGGUCUGUUAAUCGGGUUGGUUAUACGUCUGUUAAGUGUAAAACGCUUAAUUAAAUGGGUUUUUUUUUUUUUUUUUUUUUUUUUUUUUUUUUUUUUUUUUUUUAAUUUAAUGUUAAACUCUAUUAAAUUAUACAGACAUUUAGUGUCUUGAUUGUGUCUGUAGUUGAGUAACGCUUAUACGCAUGUAAUAUUUGAUUUGAGUACUGUGGUGACAUCAAAGUGAAAGGAGAUUUUAUUUGCACUAUAACAACUAGGUUUAAUGCCUUCAAUAUAGCAUUUUUAUGCAUAUUAAAUCAGCCUGAUGCCUAGCAGUAUUCCCAAGUGUCAGGGAAUAUGACAGUCUCGUCCAAAUUUCGUUUCUAGGAAUGCUACAUUUGGUAUUUGGUUAUACAUAAGUGCAGAUUUUGUCUAUGUGAUUCCAUUCGCGUUUUCGCGUUUCGUUUUCUUAGGGCUAACGCGACUUCACGAGAAAUUUUAGCGUUUCAGUUUCGACUUUUUCGCGUUUUUGCCAUAUAGAAUAGGGGAAAACGUAAUUAAGCGCAAAAAUGGCAUUUAACUGCACCAUAGUUGUCGGUUUCUAAAAUUUGUCACCUAAAGUAGUCGCAAUCCGUUACUGUAUGUUUCAUUGUGUAUUCUUAAACAAGAUAUUUUUCUUCGUUUUUAUCAAUGUACACCUCUACUGUUUAAACUCAUUCUUAGUGCGUUUCCAUCCAGAUUCUCUUGUAUACCAUGACCGGCGGUAUUGUUUAUUUCUGUAUUCUUUAAAUGUUCAUAGUUUUGCUUACUUUCAUUACGACGUUUAUCUUGGCAAAGUCAUUCAUCAUAAGGAAAAAACUAAAACAGGUGAAAAAAUUCUUAUUCAAUGAAUAAAAUGGCAACAAAGAUAACCAAAAUCUUGAUUUUUUCUAUAGAAUAUAUUGAUUUUCUAUUAUAAUUCAAUUUAAAAAAAAGUUUGUAUAGAAAAUACGUCCACACUGAAUUAAAAAUACGUACGGAAAAAUUUGGACUUUGGAUUGCAUUAUUUUUAUGUUCAUGCAGGUUCAUUUGUGGUAUUGCAAAAGUUUCAAUACAACCCGCCUUUUCAUUUUUAUAGAUGUACUCGGAGCUAGAAAAAUAAUAACUACCACUGAAUUCAGUACAUUGUAUUGUUUGUUAGACAUGAAUACUUUUUAUGAUGAAAUUAUUUAGAAAGUGAUACAAUGAAACAUGCUGAACUUUUCAAUGAUUUUAUCGAUAACACCUGAUUAACAGCUUUAGCCAACCGAUUAACAGACCAACCGCCGAUUAGCCGCAUACUCAAUAUAGAUUAACCGACCAAUCUCUCGGUUAGCCGAGUGUCGGCCGUGAAUAUAGCCGUUGUAUGAGGUCGAUAUUAUACAACUAUAGACGUUGUAUGAGGUCGAUACAAGGAUGUAUUACCUGAAAGAAGUAUAUUGACCAACGAAGAACUGGAGAAUAAAGGCUUUUUACCCUGGAGAAGAAUCCCAAUUUGAAAAAAAUAAAAAUGCCUUAAAAAUAUUCAAGACAACUUUUUCCCAAACAUUGCAGUCUCAGUAGUAAUUGUGCAUCAAUACAAACUGAAAAACACUCAUUUAAACAUUUUUUCAUGCCUAAAAUGACUAUAUGUGCCGAUUUGAGUGUCUAUUUAAAAGUAUUUAUGUAUCUUCACUGACAAUAAGGGGUCUUAUUUCAAAUAAGAGUUUACCACAAAAAGGCAAAUGCAAAGGGGUCUAAAAAUUGAAGUUUCAUCAUAUUCAUGGUUUAUUAUAAAUAUUCCCAAUUCGAUAAAAAUGACGCAUAUUUCCCCCCAAAAAUAGAGGUAGUUUUGAAAAAAAGCCAACAAUAUCACUGGGUUUGCAAUCCCUCUUCCGACCUAUUAUAGCCAUUUCAACACCGAUUAGCACAAAUUAUGUUUAUCGUCUUUUUCAUCAUUUUGGUAAAUAGACAAAGUUCUAAAAGUGAUUGUUUCGCUGUUAAGGGGUAGACCAUGGUAGCCACUUAAAUGUUUCUAUCGGUAAGUUGUACAUAUAACUACGACAUUUAAGUUUCUGAAAUCAAUGCUUAGAGGCGUCUAACUCGUCCAAUGUGUUUAAAUAGUACAAAAUCAUUCUCAUAGCCAAAAGUAAGUAACAUUACUGUUUGAUCACAGUUUCAUCUACUGCAAGGUUAAAACGCACACAUUACUUCCAAUUCAUAUGUAGGGAUUACCUCAAAUACAUUAGGUAUACCUCUUUAAUAUGUAUAGCGUGUAAAUACUAAAAAUGUGUAUUAACAUAUUUUUAUGACUUUUGCAGUGUGUUCCGAGUCUGUUAUGAAGUGCCUUAACAUGUCGAUGAGUUAUUUUGUCAUGCUCACCGGGGUAUUGUUGAUAGCUGCAAACCAAUCAACCGACGACAUCGGGAUGUAUAACCUCACAUUCCAACGUUUGAUAAACGAUACCAAAUCGUUCAAAUUUGUCUGGAAGCAAAUUUCAAAUUCAUCUUCCUUUCACAUAACCAAGCAUAACAGUUUUAUUGUGCCAACUGAUGGAAUUUUAAAAGCAGAGCUAUCACUAACAACUAGAACCUACAGAGGGAAACUUAUGACCGCUGCUUGUAUAACUCUAAAACGCACAAAUCAGAAAACAUGUCAAAGAAUGUCUGGUAAACAAGGAAGAAAACAUGAUUUCGUCAGUCAGCUAGUUCUUCAUGAAUUUUAUAAAGUUCAGAAAAAUGAUCAACUUGAAGUGUAUAUUUCACGUUUGAAGAAAUACAUCUACAAAGUUGCAGAGUAUAAUCGCCUCUGGCUAUAUUAUAUAUAGCAGUACUGGUAGAGGUAAUAGUUUAAUCAUGUUAUUAAAAGUUUAUUGAUGAUGAAAUUCUGAUACUUGAUUUCACUCCUGGUUUUUAGUGGAGUUCGUGUUGUUUCUUUUUAUUAUUUAUAACUGUUGAUGUAAAUGUCCUUUGUUUUUUUAAGUCUUUGUUUAGUCCUUGGUUUUGAUUGUUAUUGUUUAUGAGAAAGGCGAAAGAUACCAAAUGUACAUUCAAACGAAAACUAUAAUAACCCCGCCCCAUGCUGUAGGUAUGUGCCUAUCUCACGUCAGGUAACUUUAUAUUAUUUCAGAUGUUGUAAUUUGUUGCUGAGUUACCUGUUUGUUUUCUGUUCAUUUUUUUAACAUACAUUAGGCCGUUAGUUUUCUCGUUUGAGUUGUUUUUCAUUUGUCAUUUCGGGUCCUCAUGUAGCUGUCUUCUUGGUAUGGUCUUUGCUCAUUAGGCCAUACAGUGAUCUAAAUUUGUCAAUUUUUGUGUCAUUUGGUCUCUUGUGAAGAGUUGUCUCACUAGCAACUAUAUACCACAUCUUCUUUUCUACACUGACAACGUCCGGGCUCAAAAGAAAAGAAUUACCAACGGACAAACAAUAGUACACAACACACAGCAUAGAAAACUAAAGACUGAAACAUUAUAAGAUAUUUAUCCACGCAUGCGCGGUUAUAAGUAACAGUUAGUAGACGUUUAUGAGCGCAACAGUCAUAUUUUAUGUUGAUUAAUUUCAGCUAAAAUGAAAGUGUUAGUAUGUUUUGAUUCAUAUGAUAAUCGUUUGUUUUAUUCAUUGGACGGAUCAUAACAUGGAUGUAAACUACUCAUUCAAAAAGGUGAGAAAAUAAUGCGAUAACACCCUCUAUUUUUGAGCUACCCUUUUCGUUUGAUUUGUUACUAUGUCAAAGUAAAGUUGACAUUAGUAUUCUUAUGGCCGUAUGACAUUCUUAAAAAUAUUACCACUUUCUUUUAUUUAUAUUAAGUACAGUUUUAUCUGGAUGGUAAUUCGGUCGUGUCUAAAUCGGAUUUAAAAAGGUAUAGUGACUGUUUAUUAUUUUAUUUUUCGUUCCUCUUUUUUUACAAGUUUUGUUAAUUCUUACAACGUUUGUUAGAGAUUUGAAAUAUCAACUAUAUUGCUCGCGUAAAUAUAAUUAAUUUAUCACUGUUUUUUUCAGCUAUAUCUUCUUAUUAAGAAAAUGCCUGUACCUAUUUGUCUUUUGCCAUUUGCUUAGGGAUUUUUCGUUUAGAUUUUUUCGUAGUUCAGUAUUUUUGUUUUUUUUUACCUUUUAGGUGGAGUUUACCACUAAUCAACUUUGAUUUACGUAUAAAGUUAUUUUUAUGCGACAAUGUAACCAGGGAUAAUUGUUUAGUCAUUCCCGUCUGUAUAUCAUAAUCUAUACAUGUUGGAGAAUUGCGAUCUUCAAUAUAAGCCUAAACAAAAUCAAAAAGAAUGUAUCAAAUCGUAGAAAUAUCUUUGAAAACUAUAAUUGCAACAUACACAUUACACUUUUGUCUUUAUUUCAGACCCAACAUCAAAGAAGAUUUGAACGAAAAUGGAAAUGAAUGGAUAUUAAAAUGAAAGAUAACUUAGAAAACAAAGUGGAUGAAGAAUGACACUGGUACUGGCGUUCAUUCCACCAUUUAAGUGAAAGUAAAAUUAUGCCGGCAGAUAAACAAUGAUUAGAAACCUGACGCUUCGAUGAAAGUUUAAGAAAGAAAAACAAUUCGAAAACAAGUAAUAUUUAAACCCACAUUUUCCUCAAGUAUAGGUCACUUGUAUGUUUUAUUUAAAAGUAUUCAUCCG
rnacentral:lncRNA from 1 species